rnacentral:rRNA from 1 species
UACGUAGGGUGCAAGCGUUGUCCGGAAUUAUUGGGCGUAAAGAGCUCGUAGGCGGUCUGUCGCGUCUGCUGUGAAAACUCAGGGCUUAACCCUGAGCUUGCAGUGGGUACGGGCAGACUAGAGUGCGGUAGGGGAGACUGGAAUUCCUGGUGUAGCGGUGAAAUGCGCAGAUAUCAGGAGGAACACCGGUGGGCGAAGGCGGGUCU